rnacentral:lncRNA from 1 species
UGAUGCAAUAGGAUCAAUAUUGUAAGUGGACCAAUCUGCAUGGGCAUAAAUUAUACAAAAAUAAAAUAAAAUAACAAACAAAAUAAGGUCCAAAGUCCAACAUAAACACAGCCCGAUUGGCCUGUUUUUUACAGACCAAACCUUACCCAAAUACAAGCCCAAAAUGAUUUAAAACUUAGGCCCGAAUGGCCCAAAAAACAAAUAAAUUUUCAGCAUGGGUAACCUUAGCUUUCGACUGCCGCAAGCCACUUCCACAACGUCCUCCACACGCGCCACCCUCCAACUGUACCUACAAAAUAGAAUAACAAAUUUGACAGCCAAAUAACAGCAAGAAAAAUAACAGUAACAAAUAGAGCAGAAAAUCAGAAAUUUGUAAUUUUUAUUUUUAUUAUGGAUAUAUAAAACCGAUUGUAAACAGUGUAAGGGGAUCUUUUCACAGAAAUAUAAUACAGAUACCCACGUAGAUUUUAUAAAAAAAAAGUUUCGAUAAGGUGAUUUCCAGGGAUUUUGCUAUUUUGAUCUAGUUUUAAUUUUUCUUUUCUUUCGUUUUUUUAGAUCCAAAAAUAAAAGAAAAGAAAAGGGAAAGGAGCAUACCCGAACCUAUCUUGGAACAAGGUCGAACGGCUCAUUCUCGUGAGUUGCUAGCUACCAAGUAUGGUGGUGGUCCAGUGGUGCGACGGAGGUUUCUCGAGGAGAAGAAAAGGGAAAGGAAUAAACCCUUUAAGCUUUUAGGGUUAAUUGUGAAAAGGGGGAAAUCUUUGGUUUUUAUUAUUAUUAUUUUUGUUUACUAUAGCAAUAGCAGAAAUGUAUCUUUAAUAAAAUUUUGGUGCUGGAUCCGCGCAUUUUCGCCUUAAAUAGGUAAUUUGCGUGAUCAGUCCCUCCCUUUUGCGCUGCUAUUUGAUUAGGCCCCUGUUCAUUCCCUUUUACUUUUUAAUUUUGCCCAGGAAUUUUGUGUCAGUUUCAUUUUAAUCCGUG